AGGUCAUUUCAAAGAGGCUGCAAAACCAAGAGCUCUUAACACUGUGACCAAAGAUGGAAGUUCUCUCUAGGAUGCCAUGGCACUCGAUGGUGGUAUGUUUUCCUGGGGAGAUAGAAGG
ensembl:snoRNA